AAUAUAAACAUUAAAAAAAAUUUUAAUGAAAUAAAAAUUUUUUUAAAAACCCUCACUUCCCCAUAGACCAGCUGCCCUUGGGAGCUGGGCAGGCAGACAUUUCCCUCUUGGCACUAACACGUGUCCCUGCAGUGACCAGCUGUGACAGUGGCCGCCCGAGCACUCCCUUCCCGGGGCUCGGUGGGACCCCGCCGCACCUGCCUUACAGUGGCUUCAUCCUAACCCAGAAGCCAAGGCUUGGGCGGCAGGAGGGGGUCAGGCCGCUGUGGGCAAGUCCGAGAGGCACCCCUGCCUCCGCUCCUCAGCCACUCCCUGAGGCUUGGCCGCCGUCCCAGGCCGGGCGGCGGGGACCGAGCGCCACCCCACUGGCAUGCCUCACCUCUGCCACCCACGCUGUCACCCGACCGUCCUUUCCUUUUUCUCUUCGGGCCCAUUCAUUCAUUCAUUCCAUGACUGGGAUCUUGACGUUAAGAGCUUGGCGUGCAGCCCCUCCUGGGUGCCAGGCGCAGAGGAGGGCACACAGUGACCAGGGCAAAUACGGAGUUGCUCCCUAGUUAUUCAGCGACAGCAUCUGAGCUCCGAAGGACCAGCACGGCAGCUGUGAGCACCUGACCUAGGAGCUCUGACCUAGGCUGGGGUCUGGGGAAGACUCCCCGGAGGCAGUGGCCUUUGAACAGAGAACCGGCAGACGAGGAGGGGCCGCAGCCUUCUGGAUACUGGCGGCACCUAGUGUGAAUGCAGAACAGGCCACAUUCCAGGCACUGAAAGAGGCCAGAGGGACUGAGGGAAGAGACAGCGGAGGGGAGAAUGAUUCCAGAUGGGGUCGGCAGGGCCGCUUGCACGGGCCUCUAGCCUCUCAUCCGACCACUGUUUACCCACAGGUCUGAGUGCUGCCAAAGCGCCGUGACCUGGCGUGCCACCCCUCCCCCUGCAGGGGCAGCCCUCACCGCACGCCCUGGGCCCUGGGCGUUGUCACAAGGCAGGAACUGCCGCCAUCCCUCUGGUUGAUCUCUCAACUCUCUCCCAGGAAUCCGCAGCCUCGGGCAGGCAUGAUGAGGGCUCGGAACCCCAGGCUCUCCCUUCUCGGAUUCUGAUUCGCCAGGUCCCAGGAAUAACCCGCUGCUCUGGAUUGGGGGCCCGGACACACAACUUGAGAAACGGUGUCUUUGACCGUGAGAUCAUGACCUGAGCUGAAGUCAGAUGCUUAACCCACUGAGCCCCCCAGGAGCCCCAGGACAACUUCUUAAAAGCGGACUUGCUGGGUCAAAGAAGGUGAGCAUCUUCUGGAUCCUGUCAAUCAAGCAGGCUCUGCUCCAAAAGUCUCUCAGGACAUUCAGAACAGAACAGAAGGUCGCUCUCUCAUCUCCACGAAGACAGCCCUCCAGAAGCCUCCCCGAUCGGCUCCGUGCGGAACGGGGCGUUCUUCACCCCUGCCACCCUGGACCUCCCCUCCCCUGGCGUUCGCGUUCCCGCCACGGUAGUCCUGAAGGCCCUCCCCGGGUCCUGGAUUCCGUACCUGCCUCUUCUGCAUCUGCUUCUAAAAACCUCCUGAGAGAGGGAACUUGGUAGAAAACUGUGAGACCUUCGUACGUAUCCAAACAUCUUUACUCCAUCUGCAUUUCAGCUGCUGCGAGGGUCCACGUCUCCCCUACCAGCUCUUCUCCCGUGGUUCCAGGAGAGUAGCUGGCGGCCGAGGGGAGGACUGGAGCUCCUGGGACCCAGGAGCUGGCGGAGGCCCUGUGACCGUCCUCUUCAGCAGAAUGGGGGUAGAAAUGGUCUGGGCUUGAGCCCCACAUCAGCUCUGUGCCGACAGCUCAGAGCUUGGCUUCGGAUUCUGUGUCUCCCUCUCUCUCUGCCCCUCGCCUGCUCACGAAAACAACAACAACAACAAAAUCUGUGGUUUGGCCUGAGAUCUGCAUUCCUAACAUCUGCUGCCGGCCCGCAGACCCCCCCUGUGGGGUAUGAGACCCUAAGGGACGGCAGAGCUGCACGGUUAGCCCUGAUCUUCGGAUGAUCCGUGAACCGUGUGGAACUACCCGCACUGAAUUGUUCUCUGGGGAAAAACUAAGUCCUGUUUUGCGGUGUCCUUGCGUUUUCACCCUCCAACCCAGCACAGCUGGAGGGCAGAAUCCCAGAUCGGUACAGGCGUCAAGAUGGAUCCUCCCCCCCCCCCAAAAGGUAAACCUGGUCAUAACGGACUUAAGGAUCCUUAAAGGGCUCUCAAGUGCUUCGAGAACAAAGUCCAGAUUACUCAGCUCGCAAGCCUUCGUCUCCUGAUCCGGCUCCCCCGUCAGUCUGCCGCUGCCACGCUCCAGUCACGGGCCGAACGGAAUGCCUUGCUGUAGGUGGGCUAAGCCGGGCAGGCUCCUUCUCUGCACCACGCAUCUGCCCCGCUGAUCCCUUUUUCCAUCCCACCUCCCACCCACCUAGUUAAUUAACCCUUAAGAGCCGGUUCAAGCAAGGCUGCAUCCCAGAACCCUCGCUCUAUGCUCCCGAAGGUGCUCCCUGGGCGUGCCUCUCCCCAAAC